rnacentral:rRNA from 2 species
CAACUUUCAACAACGGAUCUCUUGGCUCUCACAUCGAUGAAGAACGCAGCGAAAUGCGAUAAGUAAUGUGAAUUGCAGAAUUCAGUGAAUCAUCGAAUCUUUGAACGCAAAUUGCGCCCUUUGGUAUUCCGAAGGGCAUGCCUGUUUGAGUGUCUU